GCGGCAUGCUUAACACAUGCAAGUCGACGUAAAGAAAUUUAUUUCUUUAUGUGGCGGACGGGUGCGUAACGCGUAAGAACUUACUUUUUGGCUUGGUAUAGUUUUGAGAAAUCUUAAGUAAACCCAAAUACUGCCUACAAAAGGCGAAAGAUAAUUCACCAAAAAAAAGGCUUGCGUCUGAUUAGCUAGUUGGUUUGAUAAUGGCAAACCAAGGCAACGAUCAGUAGCUGAUCUGGGAGGAUGAUCAGCCACAUUGGGACUGAGACACGGCCCAAACUUCUACGGAAGGCAGCAGUGAGGAAUUUUCCGCAAUGAGCGAAAGCUUGACGGAGCAAUACCACGUGACUGAAGACAGCCUUUAUGGUUGUAAAAGUUUUAUUUUAGAAAAGAAUAUUGACUGUAUCUAAAAAAAAGUAUCGGCUAACUCUGUGCCAGCAGCCGCGGUAAUACAGAGGAUGCUAGCGUUAUUCGGAAUGAAUGGGCGUAAAGAGUCUGUAGGUAGUUUAAAAAGUCUUUUGAGAAAUAUUUAGGCUUAACCUAAAAAGUUUAAGAGAAACUAUUAAACUUGAGAUUAGUAGAGGUUUAGGGAAUUUUCGGUGGAGCGGUGAAAUGCGUAGAUAUCGAAAGGAACACCGGAGGCGAAAGCGUUAAACUGGGCUAAUUCUGACACUGAGAGGCGAAAGCGAGGGGAGCAAAUAGGAUUAGAGACCCUAGUAGUCCUCGCCGUAAACUAUGGGGACUAGAUGUGUAUAUAUAAAUCUUAUAUAUGCAUAACGAAGCUAACGCAUUAAGUCCCCCGCCUGGGGAGUACGCCGCAUUGGUGAAACUUAAAGGAAUUGACGGGAACUUACACAAUUGGUGGAGCAUGUGGUUUAAUUCGAUGCUACACGAAGAACCUUACCGGGAUUUGACAUAAUAUUUUAUUUUUUUUUUGUAAUUAAAAAAAAUAAAUUUAUUUAUAAAUUUAAAAUAUUACAGAUGGUGCAUGGUUGUCAAGUUCGUGUUUUGAGAUGUUAGGUUAAUUCCUGUAACGAACGAAAUCCCUUUUUUCUAUUAUAUAAAAUAUUUUUAAUUGAAAUAACUGCCAAUGUAAAUUGGAGGAAGGUUGGGAUGCCGUCAAAUCAGUAUGCCUUUUAUAUCCCGGGCUACACACGUGCUACAAUGGUCGAUUCAAUAGAUAUCCAAAAUUUUAACCUCGAUCGUAGUUCGGAUUAAAGGCUGAAACUCGCCUUUAUGAAGUAGGAAUCGAUAUAAUCGCCAGUCAGC
rnacentral:rRNA from 1 species